UGUUUUAGUAACUCAAUUGGUAGAGUGUAAGACUGAAAAUCUUAAAGUUACUAGUUCGAGUCUAGUCUAAAACAA
rnacentral:tRNA from 1 species